AGUGAACGCUGGCGGUAGGCCUAACACAUGCAAGUCGAACGGCAGCACAGUAAGAGCUUGCUCUUACGGGUGGCGAGUGGCGGACGGGUGAGGAAUACAUCGGAAUCUACUUUUUCGUGGGGGAUAACGUAGGGAAACUUACGCUAAUACCGCAUACGACCUACGGGUGAAAGCAGGGGAUCUUCGGACCUUGCGCGAUUGAAUGAGCCGAUGUCGGAUUAGCUAGUUGGCGGGGUAAAGGCCCACCAAGGCGACGCUCCGUAGCUGGUCUGAGAGGAUGAUCAGCCACACUGGAACUGCGACACGGUCCAGACUCCUACGGGAGGCAGCGGUGGGGAAUAUUGGACAAUGGGCGCAAGCCUGAUCCAGCCAUACCGCGUGGGUGAAGAAGGCCUUCGGGUUGUAAAGCCCUUUUGUUGGGAAAGAAAAGCAGCAGGUUAAUACCCCGCUGUUCUGACGGUACCCAAAGAAUAAGCACCGGCUAACUUCGUG
rnacentral:rRNA from 1 species